rnacentral:rRNA from 1 species
GAUGAACGCUGGCGGCGUGCUUAACACAUGCAAGUCGAACGAGAAGUGAAGACGGAAACCUUCGGGCGGAAGGCUUUAUUUCGAGUGGCGGACGGGUGAGUAACGCGUGGGUAACCUGCCUCAUACAGGGGGAUAACAGUUGGAAACGACUGUUAAUACCGCAUAAGACCACAGCACCGCAUGGUGCGGGGGUAAAAACUCCGGUGGUAUGAGAUGGACCCGCGUUCGAUUAGCCAGUUGGCGGGGUAACGGCCCACCAAAGCGACGAUCGAUAGCCGAUCUGAGAGGAUGACCGGCCACAUUGGGACUGAGACACGGCCCAAACUCCUACGGGAGGCAGCAGUGGGGAAUACUGCACAAUGGGGGAAACCCUGAUGCAGCGACGCCGCGUGAGUGAAGAAGUAUUUCGGUAUGUAAAGCUCUAUCAGCAGGGAAGAAAAUGACGGUACCUGAGUAAGAAGCCCCGGCUAACUACGUG